UACGUAGGGUGCGAGCGUUGCCCGGAUUUAUUGGGUUUAAAGGGUGCGUAGGCGGCCUUAUAAGUCAGUGGUGAAAUCCUAUCGCUUAACGAUAGACGUGCCAUUGAUACUGUAGGGCUUGAGUACAGAUGCCGUUGGCGGAAUGUGUCAUGUAGCGGUGAAAUGCAUAGAUAUGACACAGAACACCGAUUGCGAAGGCAGCUGACGAAACUGUAACUGACGCUGAUGCACGAAAGCGUGGGGAGCAAACAGG
rnacentral:rRNA from 1 species